GUCCCUGUAGCGCAAUGUGGAUAGCGCGUUGUGCUUCUAAUCCAAAGGUCGUGGGUCCAAAUCCCACCAGGGAUG